rnacentral:lncRNA from 1 species
CUGUAUGUGGUGCUGAGGAUCGAACCCGGGCCGCACGCAUGCCAGGCGAGCGCGCUACCGCUUGAGCCACAUCCCCAGCCCCUAAACGGCUCUUUAUAGGUCAGGAAAGUAGUGCAGGCUCGAGGGGUGAAGGCCGCACAGGUGAGUAGGCAGCGGCUUCGUAGGCCGGCACUGCUCCUGUUUGGUUUGGCCCGUGGGGUGUUAAAAGACUCUUUUUUUUUGAACCUAUGCCCAUAUUUAAUAAUUGGGACCUUUCCUAUGACAUUAGAAUUUCUUGACAGAUGUUGAGACUCGGCCAACCUCGGCCUGUGUUUCCUGACAGCUGCUUGAGACCUGGGUGAGCGCCUUUGAGAGGAGCCCAAGCCGGUAUGUUCUCUCGCUCGCUUUCUCUUUUCAGUUCUGGGGCUGGAACCCAGAGCCUUGUGCAUGCCAAGCCUGCACUCCACCCCUGACCACUCCCUCAGCACCCCAGUGUCUUGGACCCAACAACUGUUGAGCUUCAGACCCUCAGAGAGCCUAAGACCUUCAGGUCUCCUUUGUCAGGCCCACUCCUCAGGGCUGAGCAAGCAUGGUGACAGGGGUGCAGACAACCCUCAGGAUGCCCGGUUAAACCUGAACUUCCAGUAAAUAACGACUUCUUGAUGGGCACAUCCGGGGCCUUCUCUGUUGAGCGGUUUUGUACACAGUUGUACAGAACUGCCCAUGCUACACCUGUGCAGCUUAUGCCACUUCUCUGAGGCUGCUGGGACAUGCCAAGGUGCUUAUCAGAGCAGGCUAUGAGAUGGGGGACUCCAACCUGCCUUAGACCCCUGGUCCAGCCUCUUGGUAACUGUGGGACCUUGGGCAGGUUACCUUACCUCUCUGAGCCUUGGUUUCCUCGUCUGUACCACAGGGAGGACAAGGAUGGCUGUGUUAACUCCUGCUAGUACUUAUGUGUCUCAUCUCCACUGAACGGUGCAGAGUAGAUGGCCACUGGCCUUGGCCAGUCCCCUGUGGCCGGGAGUCAAGAGGGCUGCAGUUCAUUGCUACUGAAACAAGCCUGCAGAGGUUUGAGGAGGGAAGGGUCCGGGAGGGCCAGGGCAGGUGACCUAAGGCUUAGUUUGCUUAACCAAAAAUAAAUAAGCAAAGGCAAGAAGCAGCGAGGAAGGGUGCCCGUCUCCCUGGAAACCACCGCUGGCCGCAGGACCUUCUCGUUCCAGGCGCGGGCGGUGGAGGCGGCCAUCGAGGGGCUACUCGUGGCGCUGGAGGACUUCAGCCUGGUGACCUGGUGAGUGGCCGCGAGGCGCGGGUGGAGCCAGGCCCGCGGCAGGGGCGACCCGCUCGGGCAGCGCUGUCCCGCCCAGGUGCCGCCCGGCGGCCGUCUUGACCCCUCUCCCCGGGGCCUGCAGGAGGCGCGGCGCGGCCACGAGGUGGCGCCCUGGAGAGGCCACGCGGCGGGCGGGGGGGGGGGGAGCGCUCUAUUAACUCCCCCGCGGGGACCGGGAACGGGGACAGGGGAGGGCCCAGCGGGCGGCCGGGAGGAGCCCUCUGUCCCUCUGCCCUGCCGUGCGCCCCCCUCUGCACCCGGCCCGGGCAGGGAAACGUUGCCGAGGACCAGCCCUGUCCACCAGCGGGCGUGCAGCCCUGGGGGGCCAUGGUGGAAUUUUCUAGAAGAUUCCAAGUUCAGUGAAGGCAAACCAGGAACCCAGGGUGGGGGCUUCUGCCGGGAGGUCCAGAGCACCCCGUCUUGUGGCCAGGUCCCCCUUCCCCCAGAGUGGACAAAGGCUGCCAGGCUGGGCCUGUCCAGGAGACCUAGGGCCCUGUGAAGCUCAGGGUCCACAGCCAGGUGUUAGAGGGUGCCCAGGGGGUGACAGUGACCACAGCCCCAGACGUACACCGAGCACCAGCUUUGUGCCAGGCACAGGCAUCUCGGUGCCCACCCUGGGCCAGCCUCUGGGGACACUGUUGGGAACAAGAUGGGAACCGGCCCAGGAACUAGGUUCUCAUGCAGAGGUGGCUCAACCUGGCGGCAAGGUGACCAGCAGGACUUUUUACAGCCAAAUAACCUUCUUCCUCACAAGGUUGGCCCUUCUCCUGCCCAGGCCCCAAGAUGAGCUGGGGACAGAGUCAGAUCCAUCCCCAGCCCCUGGGCCCUGUCCACGGAGGUGGAGGUCCACCAGCCAGACCAGCCAGAGGGUGAUGUGAGGCCCGGGGGUCCCAGAGCAGAGGCUGUCAGGGCCCCCUGGGGAACGGGAGGCUUACAGAGCAGGCGGCCUUGGAUUUGGGGCUUGGGGGAGGAACAGCAGAGAAGGUGGGUCCGAAGACGGUGCAGACUGAUGACCAAGGACAUUGCGUCCUCACCUCCCCACCCAUCCCCGGGCCUCCUGUGGAAGGAGGCCCCAGGCAGCCUGAGAGAUGAGGAGAGCCGGGGCGGGAGUCCAUGUGGACAGAGGUCACACCACCGCCCAGUCCUGGAAACCCGGCCGGGUGGUGGGAACUCUGGGUACCGCCAGGAGCCUCGAGACUGCAGGCAGCACAGGGAGGUCCCCCAACCCCGAGCGAAGCCCUGAAUACGGAGGUUGGGCACAGAUGACUCCCGGCCCAGGGCUGCCAACAGCUAUGUUGAUGUUUCUGGGGACAAAAAGGAAUCAGCUACUGAUAUUUUUAGAAUUUCAUGCCCAAAGUCUGGAUUUCUGGCUUCUCUUGGAGAAAUGGAGAUCUGGUCCCCCUGGGGGGCCUGUCCCCUCAGCCCCUGCAAGCAUCUGCCCCUGUGGGUGGCAAGUGUGACCCACCCCAGGGAUGGCCACCCUGAGCUUCUGUGUGUUGUGACAGGGUCCCCGUUCCAGGACAUGGAGGGAGCGGGUCCCCUGUGGCAGCGAGACUGCCUCAGGGUAUCUGCAUAAGGGAUGUGCCCAGCCUGCUUGUCCACCCACGGUGCCUCUGUGGCUCCUGGGGGCAUUUGGGUUCACAGUCCCUCACCUGUGUUCUGUGUAGUGCCACAGAUGUCCCCGACUGUCCAGGCCUGGCGUGCCAGUGCGUGUGCCCUGUGUCAGCAGGUUCCACGGCUGUGGAGGGGCGUCAGUUGUCAGCCUGAGGAUGGGACCUCCUUCUCUUUAUAACUGCUCUAAAAUCUAAGGUAGGGAUGAGUGGGGACCUGCA